rnacentral:rRNA from 1 species
AGAGUUUGAUCAUGGCUCAGGAUGAACGCUAGCGGCAGGCCUAAUACAUGCAAGUCGAACGAGAUUAGUAGCAAUACUAUGAAAGUGGCGCACGGGUGCGUAACACGUAUGCAAUCUACCUUUAAUUGGAGGAUAGCCUCGAGAAAUCGGGAUUAAUACUCCAUAACAUUAUGAACUGGCAUCAGUUUAUAAUUAAACCUCCGGGGAUUAAAGAUGAGCAUGCGCAACAUUAGCUAGUUGGUAAGGUAAUGGCUUACCAAGGCUACGAUGUUUAGGGGGUCUGAGAGGAUGAUCCCCCACACUGGUACUGAGACACGGACCAGACUCCUACGGGAGGCAGCAGUAGGGAAUAUUGGGCAAUGGAGGCAACUCUGACCCAGCCAUGCCGCGUGCAGGAUGACGGCCCUCUGGGUUGUAAACUGCUUUUAUACGGGAAGAAAAAAUGCUACGUGUAGCACAUUGACGGUACCGUAAGAAUAAGGAUCGGCUAACUCCGUGCCAGCAGCCGCGGUAAUACGGAGGAUCCAAGCGUUGUCCGGAUUUAUUGGGUUUAAAGGGUGCGUAGGCGGAUCUUUAAGUCAGUGGUGAAAGCCUGCAGCUCAACUGUAGAACAGCCAUUGAAACUGAAGAUCUUGAAUAUGGUUAAAGUAGGCGGAAUGUAUCAUGUAGCGGUGAAAUGCUUAGAUAUGAUACAGAACACCGAUAGCGAAGGCAGCUUGCUGAACCAUUAUUGACGCUGAGGCACGAAAGCGUGGGGAGCAAACAGGAUUAGAUACCCUGGUAGUCCACGCCCUAAACGUUGAUUACUCGUUGUUGGCGAUAUACAGUCAGCGACUAAGCUAAAGCGUUAAGUAAUCCACCUGGGAAGUACGACCGCAAGGUUGAAACUUAAAGGAAUUGACGG